GCCAGGCAUGGUGGCACACGCCUGUAAUCCCAGCUGCUUGGGAGGCUGAGGUGGGAGGAUUGCUUGAACCCAGGAGGCAGAGGCUGCAGUGAGCUGAGAUCGUACCACUGCACUCCAGCCUGGGUGACAGAGCGAGACCCCAUCUCAA
ensembl:misc_RNA Metazoa_SRP Metazoan signal recognition particle RNA